ACCAACAUAGCUCAGUUGGUACUGCUUCUGAGACUCUUCAUCUCAGGGUCGUGGGUUCAAGUCCCACGCUGGGCA